UACGUAGGGGGCAAGCGUUGUCCGGAAUCAUUGGGCGUAAAGAGCGUGUAGGCGGCCACUUAAGUCCUGCGUGAAAUCUUGCGGCUCAACCGCAAGCGGUCGUGGGAAACUGGGUGGCUAGAGUGCGGGAGAGGAGAGUGGAAUUCCUGGUGUAGCGGUGGAAUGCGCAGAUAUCAGGAGGAACACCAAUGGCGAAGGCAGCUCGCUGGGACGUGACUGACGCUGAGACGCGAAAGCGUGGGGGAGCAAACAGG
rnacentral:rRNA from 1 species